rnacentral:rRNA from 1 species
CCUACGGGAGGCAGCAGUGGGGAAUAUUGGGCAAUGGAGGAAACUCUGACCCAGCAACGCCGCGUGAAUGAUGAAGGUCUUCGGAUUGUAAAGUUCUUUUCUAAGGGAAGAAGAAAGUGACGGUACCUUAGGAAUAAGCCUCGGCUAACUACGUGCCAGCAGCCGCGGUAAUACGUAGGAGGCAAGCGUUAUCCGGAAUGACUGGGCGUAAAGGGUGCGUAGGUGGUUCAGCAAGUUAGUAGCGUAAUUCCGGAGCUCAACUUCGGCACUACUACUAAAACUGUUGGACUUGAGUGCAGGAGGGGCAACUGGAAUUUCUAGGGUAGCGGUGGAAUGCGUAGAUAUUAGGAAGAACACCGGUGGCGAAGGCGAGUUGCUGGACUGUAACUGACACUGAGGCACGAAAGCGUGGGGAGCAAACAGGAGUAGAUACCCUAGUAGUC